GUUCCUGUCUCUUCCAGCCUUAUCUUCCUCUCUCCGCCCAGCCGCAUCACUCCAGUCUCCACUCCGUACAGCUGGGAUUAAAGGCGUGUGAUCCCAAGAGCUAGGACCACCUUUGUAUCAGAACUGGUUCACAGGUGGCAGCUGCACCCCCAAGCCAGGCAGAACCGACAGCUCUCACAAGGACCCUCACCCUGGCCAAAGAGAAACAGGUCAACAUCUAUAGUGACUCCAAGUGUGCCUAUAACAUUAUCCGCUCCGACAUCCUCACCUGGAGACACGGGAUUCCUGACAGCGCCACGGCCAACGCCUCCAUCUACAGAGACUCCUGGAGGCAGUGUUGCUUCCUGACCCAGACUCAGUAGUACACUUCAGGGGACGCCAAGAGGAUAGACAAUUAUCUCCCUGGCUAAUAACACGUCAGCAAAGCAUACAAAGCCAUUACUUCCUCAACCACCACACGGCUCUUCCCGACUGAGGACGACCAACAGGCUGCCUAUUCGUAGUCCUGGAACCAGAUGAGCUCGGAGAUCCUUGAGUAGCUACUUGCUUCUUCAACAAGGUUUUAUCGUUUUUGCUCGUUUUUGGGGGGGGGUGUUUGGAGACAGGGGCCCUGGCUGUCGUGGAUCUCACUCGGUAAACCAGGCUGGCCUGGGACUUAGAGAUCCUCCUGCCUCUGCCUCCCCAGUGCUGGGAUUAAAGGCGAGGGCCACCAAUCAAGGAGCUCUUAAGACAAAAGAUCUAUACUUACUGACCAAAUAACUUUUAAGUUGCCAUUCAGUUAUUUUGUAAAGAAAGCAAAUAAAACGAUCUGUAAGUAUCAA